GGACCCGCACAAGCGGUGGAUGAUGUGGUUUAAUUCGAUGCAACGCGAAAAACCUUACCCACCUUUGACAUGUACGGAAUCCUUUAGAGAUAGAGGAGUGCUCGAAAGAGAACCGUAACACAGGUGCUGCAUGGCUGUCGUCAGCUCGUGUCGUGAGAUGUUGGGUUAAGUCCCGCAACGAGCGCAACCCUUGUCAUUAGUUGCUACAUUAGUUGGGCACUC
rnacentral:rRNA from 1 species